rnacentral:rRNA from 1 species
CAUGUCCUUUUGAUAUUUAAUUUAAGGUCUAACCUGCCCAAUGAUUAUAAAUUAAAUGGCCGCGGUAUUUUGACCGUGCAAAGGUAGCAUAAUCAUUAGUUUUUUAAUUGAAAGCUGGAAUGAAGGGUUGAAUGAGAAAAUUACUGUCUUUUAUAUAUUUAAUUAGAAUUUUAUUUUUAAGUUAAAAAGCUUAAAUUUAAUUUAUAGACGAGAAGACCCUUUAGAGUUUUAUAAAUUUAUAUAUAAAAUUUUUUAGUAAUAACUUAAUUUUAUAUAUUUUUUUUAUUUAAUUGGGGUGAUUGAAAAAUUUAAAAAACUUUUUUUUUUAUUUUACAUUUAUAUAUGAAUAAUUGAUCCAUUAUUUAUGAUUAUAAGAUUAAAUUACCUAAGGGAUAACAGCGUUAUUUUUUUUGAGAGUUCAAAUCGAAAAAAAAGUUUGCGACCUCGAUGUUGGAUUAAAAUUAAAUUAUGGUGUAGAGGCUAUAACUUUA